rnacentral:rRNA from 1 species
CGUAGGUGAACCUGCGGAGGGAUCAUUACACAAAUAUGAAGGCGGGCUGGAACCUCUCGGGGUUACAGCCUUGCUGAAUUAUUCACCCUUGUCUUUUGCGUACUUCUUGUUUCCUUGGUGGGUUCGCCCACCACUAGGACAAACAUAAACCUUUUGUAAUUGCAAUCAGCGUCAGUAACAAAUUAAUAAUUACAACUUUCAACAACGGAUCUCUUGGUUCUGGCAUCGAUGAAGAACGCAGCGAAAUGCGAUAAGUAGUGUGAAUUGCAGAAUUCAGUGAAUCAUCGAAUCUUUGAACGCACAUUGCGCCCUUUGGUAUUCCAAAGGGCAUGCCUGUUCGAGCGUCAUUUGUACCCUCAAGCUUUGCUUGGUGUUGGGCGUCUUGUCUCUAGCUUUGCUGGAGACUCGCCUUAAAGUAAUUGGCAGCCGGCCUACUGGUUUCGGAGCGCAGCACAAGUCGCACUCUCUAUCAGCAAAGGUCUAGCAUCCAUUAAGCCUUUUUUUCAACUUUUGACCUCGGAUCAGGUAGGGAUACCCGCUGAACUUAAGCAUAUCAAUAAGCGGAGGAAAAGAAACCAACAGGGAUUGCCCUAGUAACUGCGAGAA